GUGGGGAAUCUUCCGCAAUGGACGAAAGUCUGACGGAGCAACGCCGCGUGAGUGAUGAAGGUCUUCGGAUUGUAAAGCUCUGUUAAUCGGGACGAAAGAGCCUAGUGUGAAUAAUGCUAGGAAGUGACGGUACCGGAAUAGAAAGCCACGGCUAACUACGUGCCAGCAGCCGCGGUAAUACGUAGGUGGCAAGCGUUGUCCGGAAUUAUUGGGCGUAAAGCGCGCGCAGGCGGAUCUGCCAGUCUGUCUUAAAAGUUCGGGGCUUAACCCCGUGAUGGGAUGGAAACUACAGAUCUAGAGUAUCGGAGAGGAAAGUGGAAUUCCUAGUGUAGCGGUGAAAUGCGUAGAUAUUAGGAGGAACACCAGUGGCGAAGGCGGCUUUCUGGACUGUAACUGACACUGAGGCACGAAAGCGUGGGGAGCAAACAGGAUUAGAAACCCCGGUAGUCC
rnacentral:rRNA from 1 species